rnacentral:rRNA from 1 species
CCUACGGGAGGCAGCAGUGGGGAAUAUUGCACAAUGGGGGAAACCCUGAUGCAGCGACGCCGCGUGAGUGAAGAAGUAAUUCGUUACGUAAAGCCCUAUCAGCAGGGAAGAAACACUGACCUUACGGUCAGCAGACGGUACCUGAGUAAGAAGCCCCGGCUAACUACGUGCCAGCAGCCGCGGUAAUACGUAGGGGGCAAGCGUUAUCCGGAUUUGCUGGGUGUAAAGGGAGCGUAGACGGUGCGCCAAGUAUGGAGUGAAAUGCCGCAGCUUAACUGCGGAACUGCUGUGGAAACUGGCGAACUAGAGUGCGGGAGGGGUAAGCGGAAUGCGUGGUGUAGCGGUGAAAUGCGUAGAUAUUAGGAAGAACACCGGUGGCGAAGGCGGCUUACUGGACCGUAACUGACGUUGAGGCUCGAAAGCGUGGGGAGCGAACAGGAUUAGAUACCCGAGUAGUC